CAGAGGGGGCAAGCGUUAUUCGGAAUUAUUGGGCGUAAAGGGCGCGUAGGCGGCUUUGCAAGUGACGGGUGAAAUCCCUCGGCUUAACCGAGGAACUGCCUGUCAGACUGUGAGGCUUGAGACCGGGAGAGGUGAGUGGAAUUCCCAGUGUAGCGGUGAAAUGCGUAGAUAUUGGGAGGAACACCAGUGGCGAAGGCGGCUCACUGGACCGGAACUGACGCUGAUGCGCGAAAGCGUGGGGAGCAAACAGGAUUAGAUACCCUGGUAGUCCACGCCGUAAACGAUGAGUGCUUGGUGUAGCGGGUAUCGACCCCUGCUGUGCCGAAGUCAACACAUUAAGCACUCCGCCUGGGGAGUACGGUCGCAAGACUG
rnacentral:rRNA from 1 species